rnacentral:lncRNA from 1 species
AUCUAAUGUUUCUCAGCAAGGGAAUCCAUACAUAGUAUCACCAACUGUAUAAAGAUUUUGGAAACUGAAUGCAUUAUAUCAGUAUCAUGGAUGACUUGGAAACCUGAAUGUAGAUCCCAGUAUUCCUAGAUAUUCACUCUUAGGCUUCUGGUCUGUAAAACAUCCAUAUUUUAACAACUUCUCCUACACAUAUACAACUGAUUUUCCAAAUAGACACAAAAGUAGCUGGAUAAAUAUAUAAGGUCAGAAUUCUGCCCUUGCUAUCACUAUAUAUAUAUAUAUGUAGAAUUAUAGAGUCACAGAAACAUUAAGGUUGGAAAAGACCUCCAAGGUCAUCUGGUCCAACCAUCCCCCUACCACCACAUCCAGCCUUUCCUUAAUCACCCCCAGGACUGGUGACUCCACCAACCCCCUGGGCAACCUGUUCCAAUGCCUAAUCAUUCUUUCUGAGAAGAAAUUUCUCCUAAUAUAUCUAUUUAUUUAUUUAUUUAUUUUUCUGCAGGAUGGACACUUGUCAGAACUGAAAUGCAAUUGGCAUUUUUUGAAUCACGUUAAUCUACCACAUUGGGGUGGAAAACCCAAACACCUGGUUAAGACACCUAACUUCUAUUUGCUCAUAGCCCAACCUGAUCAGGAUGUUGACCAGUUGUUUUGGAUGACAGCAGAGCUGUAAGCACCGUCAUAGACACACACAUGUUCUGUUAUCCAGGCUACGUUGCCAGGAUGCAUUUUUGUCUUUUAAGGUACAGGAUUUCUCUAUUUUACUUUAGUGAUUUAUAGCUUUGUGUUGUUUGGGUAGGUUGAGUGGAUGGUCAUUGUUCAGAGCAGAUCUGUGGUGUGAGCAGAAAGGACACACCAGAAUGCAGAUUAAUAUGAAAAACAACUCUCUUGAGGAGGGGAAGACAAAAUGAACAUAACUCAAGUUCAGGAAGCAGGGAAACUGUGUGAAGAAACACAUUUUCUUUGUUAUUAAUCUAAUCAGAAUCUUUAAUAUUUUUUAUGUAAAAAUCCAGGUAGGCAGUAGAAAUCAAACAGGUUCCUCUUCUUUUCAGAUGUUUUAAUGAAAUUUCCACUUUCAGUAACCUCAGGAGUUUUGAAUUAAUGUUAGUCAAAUUCAGGUCAUGUAGCCAACCCCUGUUUUCCUUUACUGAUUCUCCUCUCUGGCCACACAUUUAUUGUUCCAUAAGCAGGGCAGUGCUUGAACUUCAUGCUACAAAUCAAAGACAGAUCUAACUAUAAACAAUGCAAUUCAUACUAUACCAAUGGUAUAGUAUUUUUGGUAUGAUAUAGUAUGGCUUUCUGGAGGGAAAACUCUAAAGUCUUAUAUUGUAUUUUGGCAUUUGUAUUCACUGGUAGCCUGAACUUGUUUAUUUAGAUUUUUUUUUUCAGCAACAAAUCCACAUUGCUGUUGUAUCCUAUAACUUUAUACAGAUUUGCACUGGAAUAUUUUAGAAUCUUAGAAUAUUUGAGCUGGAAGGCACCCACAAGAAUCAUCAAGCCCAACUCCUGGGUUCCACAUAGGAACCCAGAAGCUGGACAAACCUUCCUACCCCCUUCCCCCCCAAAACAAACAAACAAACAAAACAAAAGAAAAGAAAACAAAACAAAUCACGUCUGAAAGCACUGUCCAAAUGCUGCUUGAAUUCUGGCAGUUUGGUGCUGUGACUACUGCC